UUUUGAAGCUCAAUAAAUCGGCAUUCAAAAAAAAUAAACGUGAUCAAAUUAUAAAUCUUUUGAAUAAUGACGUAUAUAACUUUGAUUUGCUUCCGCUGAGUCUCAACUUCUUAUGGAUAACUUUUAUUCAAAUGAUUAUAAUUUUUCCCAUUGUUUGGCAAAGUAUCGGUCUGCAUGUUAUUGUAGGCUUUGGAGCUCUUUUGACUGUGGUUAUUUCUAUGCAAGGGUGUAUAGAAAUUGUAGAUAGUACGCUCAGGAAGAUGAUUGAAAAAUUAACUGAUCAACGAAAUCAGAUAGUUAAAGAAAUAACUAUUGGGAUUAAGAUAGUCAAAAUGUAUGUAUUGGAAAAAUAUUUCAACAAAGCUAUGACUAAAAUAA